GCCGCGGUAACCUAGUGGUCAUGGUUGCAACCGACUGUGUUCGUUGGAUCGUGGGUUCGAGCCUUGAUCCCACUAAAGACCCGCAGUA